rnacentral:tRNA from 1 species
GCCUUUGUGGCGUAGUGGUUAGCACGCUCGGCGCGUAUUCGAGAGGUCCAUGGUUCGAGUCCCGGCGAAGGCA